rnacentral:lncRNA from 10 species
AGGAAAGAAAGAAAGAAACUUAAGCUCCCUGCCCGAGGCAGCACAGCUAGGAUGAGGCACAGAACUGGAACUCAGACUCGGCAGUGGCUCUGCUGAGCCUCCACACCUUCCACUACGCCAGAGCCUUCCAACGACCGGCCCUCCCAGUGCUCCUGGCUCCGGCCCACGAGGCUGGAGUGGCCACUGGUGCUGACGGGCACCCCCCGCCACCACCAC